rnacentral:rRNA from 1 species
GAUGAACGCUGGCGGCGUGCCUAACACAUGCAAGUCGAGCGGACAGAUGAGGAGCUUGCUCCUCUGACGUUAGCGGCGGACGGGUGAGGAACACGAGGAUACCCUACCUAUGAGACUAGGAUAACUUAGGGAAACCGGAGCCAAUAUCGGAUCAUAUAUUGAACGGCAUGGUUCUAUAGUCAACGCCGGUUUUGCUGUCCCUUCUUCAUAGUACCGGGUCGCAUUAGCUAGUUGGUAAGGUAACGGCUUACCAAGGCCACGAUGCGUAGCCGACCUGAGAGGGUGAUCAGCCACACUGGAACUGAGACACGGUCCAGACUCCUACGGGAGGCAGCAGUAGGGAAUCUUCGACAAUGGGCGAAAGCCUGACGAAGCAACGCCGCGUGAGUGAAGAAGGUCUUCGGAUCGUAAAACUCUGUUAGUAGGGAAGAACAGAUGUAUAAGUAACUAUGCACGUCUUGACGGUACCUAAACAAAAAGCCACGGCUAACUACGUG